rnacentral:lncRNA from 1 species
UUUCCUUUUCCUUUUCCUUUUCCUUUUCCUUUUCCUUUUCCUUUUCCUUUUCCUUUUCCUUUUCCUUUUCCUUUUCCUUUUCCUUUUCCUUUUCCCCUUUCCUUUUCCCCUUUCCCUUUCCCCUUUCCCCUUCCCUUUCCCCUCCCUCAGCCGGGGUAUUUAAUGCUUUCCCUGCAUCCCAACCUCUGCUUUUCACCGCGCCUGGAGCACAGCCGGCGCGGGGGCCUCGCCUCUCCAUUGCGGAGGAGCGGGAACGUGGAAAAGCCUCUGGAAAAGCUUCUCCUGCUAAUGGCAGUGCGGGAGAAGGCGGCGGAGGCUCAGCCUCCCCCGGGCAUCCUCCCAGCGGGGUGGGACCCGACCCGGAGCGCUCAUCCUGGGGAUGGUGAGGAAGCCGCCGCUGCCCUUCCCGCUGCCAGGCUGGCUUUGGGGCUGGGAAAGGGAAAAGAUCCUCCCUGGGAGCUGGGAAAAGUGGAGGCGCUGCCGGAGGUCGAUGUGUGUUGGCAUCGGGACCUCAGGGUGCCCUGCUGGCUUGGGUGCGGGCACUCACCGGCCCUCCCGGGGCACUCGGUAGCUCAGGCUGGCUGUAGGGAUGCUGGGUGCGGCUGUAGGGAUGCUGGGUGCGGCUGUAGGGAUGCUGGGUGCCCGGGGGCAUCGCCCGCAGCUCAGGGCACUCCUUUUUCUCUCUCUCUCUCGGCUCCGCGCUGCCUUGUGCAGCGGGGUGAGAGCAAAGCAGCGUUUCCUCAUCACCCGAGGGCUUCGCCGGGCACGGAGCGGGGGCUGGAUGGGGAGGAGCCGCUCACCUCAUUAGCCAGGUUCCCAACCGACCUCGCCGAGCCCAAAGGCGGCCGGCUGCCACCUCCUGCGGGCACCCCCGUGCCAGCCUCCGGCACGCAGGAGCUGCGCUGGCGGUGGGAUGCGGGCACCGGGCACAGCGGCGCCAGCGGCCAGGGCCGGCGGCGGAGCUGGAGAGCCGCGUCCCGCUGAGAGGAUGAAAACAUGGGGCUCAAGUUCUCCUGCCUGAAAGGCUUGAAGAUGUGCGUGAGCAGCGGGAACGGCAGCGAGGGGACCCCAGCGGGACAGAAGCACCUGCACGUGCCCUCCAUCAUCGUCACGCCUCCCACGCCCACGGGGACCACGCUGUCCCGCGAGGGCCGGCGCGGGGAGAGCCCCUCGCCCUGCAGCCCGUGCUGAGAGGGGACACGGGGGGACCCCCAGCCCGGCAGGAGCUGUCCCCUCUCCUCGGGAUGGAGCCCCCAGGCCACGGCCGGGCCGGACGAAGCUGCCAGGGACACGCGGGGCACCCACGCGGGUGGGUUUGGACAGCAGGGACCGGGGUUUGUCCCUUUUGCUAUUCCCCCCACGGCGAAUAAAAACCCGCACCCCCAGUUCGGCUGUGGCA